rnacentral:snRNA from 2 species
GUGCUCGCUUCGGCAGCACAUAUACUAAAAUUGGAACGAUACAGAGAAGAUUAGCAUGGCCCCUGCGCAAAGGAUGGCACGCAAUCU